UACGUAGGGGGGCAAGCGUUGUCCGGAUUUAUUGGGCGUAAAGAGCGUGUAGGCGGCCUUACAGGUCAGCUGUGAAAACUCGAGGCUCAACCUCGAGACGUCGGUUGAAACCGUAUGGCUAGAGUCCGGAAGAGGAGAGUGGAAUUCCCGGUGUAGCGGUGAAAUGCGCAGAUAUCGGGAAGAACACCCGUGGCGAAGGCGGCUCUCUGGGACGUGACUGACGCUGAGACGCGAAAGCGUGGGGAGCAAACAGG
rnacentral:rRNA from 1 species